UACAGAGGGUGCGAGCGUUAAUCGGAAUUACUGGGCGUAAAGCGCGCGUAGGCGGCUUUGCAAGUCGGGUGUGAAAUCCCCAGGCUUAACCUGGGAACUGCAUUCGAGACUGCAUUGCUAGAGUAUGGGAGAGGGAAGUGGAAUUUCCGGUGUAGCGGUGAAAUGCGCAGAUAUUAGGAGGAACACCGGUGGCGAAGGCGCCGCUCUGGGCCGAAACUGACGCUGAGGAGCGAAAGCAUGGGUAGCAAACAGG
rnacentral:rRNA from 1 species